rnacentral:rRNA from 1 species
GAUGAACGCUGGCGGCGUGCUUAACACAUGCAAGUCGAACGAAGAGGGUUAGAAUGAGAGCUUCGGCAGGAUUUCUUUCCAUCUUAGUGGCGGACGGGUGAGUAACGUGUGGGCAACCUGCCCUGUACUGGGGAAUAACUCGCCGAAAGGCGUGCUAAUACCGGAUGAUGUCGUAAGACCAAAGAUUUAUCGCCCAGGGAUGAGCCCGCGUAAGAUUAGGUAGUUGGUGAGGUAAAGGCUCACCAAGCCGACGAUCUUUAGCUGGUCUGAGAGGAUGAUCAGCCACACUGGGACUGAGACACGGCCCAG